rnacentral:rRNA from 1 species
GACGUAGGAGGCGAGCGUUGUCCGGAUUCAUUGGGCGUAAAGAGCACGCAGGCGGUUUGGCAAGUCGGAUGUGAAAACCCGGAGCUCAACUCCGGACCUGCAUCCGAAACUGCCCGACUAGAGGUAGGUAGGGGAGAUCGGAAUUCCUGGUGUAGCGGUGAAAUGCGCAGAUAUCAGGAGGAACACCGGUGGCGAAGGCGGAUCUCUGGGCCUUACCUGACGCUCAGGUGCGAAAGCUAGGGGAGCAAACAGG